GGCCCGUUCGUCUAGUGGCUAGGACGCAUGGUUCUCAUCCAUGUAACGGGAGUUCAAUUCUCCCACGGGCUA
rnacentral:tRNA from 1 species